rnacentral:rRNA from 1 species
AGCGGCCGCCCGGGUUACCUUGUUACGACUUAUCCUGAGCCAGGAUCAAACUCUGCAGCGGCCGCGGCAUCCGCGGCCUGAGAGUUUUGAUCUGCUCAGAGACGAACGCUGGCGGCGUGCCUAACAAAUGCAAGUCGGACGGACUUAUGUCUGAAGGGUAACUGGAGGGUGUAAGUUAGUGGCGCACGGGUGAGUAACACGUAGAUAACCUACCCUUAAGAGGGGGACAACACAGGGAAACUUGUGCUAAUACCGCAUAAGGCCACGGGUUGGGAUACUUGUGGUAAAAGGGUGGCGACACCGCUUAGGGAUGGGUCUGCGGCCUAUCAGGUAGUUGGUGGGGUAAUGGCCUACCAAGCCUAAGACGGGUAACCGGACUGAGAGGUUGGACGGUCACACUGGAACUGAGAUACGGUCCAGACUCCUACGGGAGGCAGCAGUGGGGGAAUUUUUCACAAUGGGCGGAAGCUUGAUGCAGCGACGGCGCGUGGAGG